rnacentral:rRNA from 1 species
GAUGAACGCUGGCGGCGUGCCUAAUACAUGCAAGUCGAGCGAACAGACGAGGAGCUUGCUCCUCUGACUUUAGCGGCGGACGGGUGAGUAACACGUGGAUAACCUACCUCUAAGACUGGGAUAACUUCGGGAAACCGGAGCUAAUACCGGAUAAUAUAUUGAACCGCAUUGUUCACUAGUGAAAGACGGUUUUGCUGUCACUUAUAGAUUGAUCCGCGCCGCAUUAGCUAGUUGGUAAGGUAACGGCUUACCAAGGCAACGAUGCGUAGCCGACCUGAGAGGGUGAUCGGCCACACUGGAACUGAGACGCGGUCCAGACUCCUACGGGAGGCAGCAGUAGGGAAUCUUCCGCAAUGGGCGAAAGCCUGACGGAGCAACGCCGCGUGAGUGAUGAAGGUCUUCGGAUCGUAAAACUCUGUUAUUAGGGAAGAACAAAUGUGUAAGUAACUAUGCACGUCUUGACGGUACCUAAUCAGAAAGCCACGGCUAACUACGUG